rnacentral:rRNA from 1 species
GAUGAACGCUGGCGGCGUGCUUAACACAUGCAAGUCGAACGGUGAAGCAGAGCUUGCUCUGUGUAUCAGUGGCGAACGGGUGAGUAACACGUGAGCAACCUGCCCCCGACUCUGUGAUAAGCGCUGGAAACGGCGUCUAAUACCUGAUAUGAGCUGCGACCGCAUGGUCAGCGGAUGGAAAGAUUUUGCGGUCUGCGAUGGUCUCACGGCCUAUCAGCUUGUUGGUGGGGUAGUGGCUCACCAAGGCGUCGACGGGUACCCGGCCUGAGAGGGUGACCGGCCACAAUGGGACUGAGACACGGCCCAGACUCCUACGGGAGGCAGCAGGGGGGAAUAUUGCACAAUGGGCGAGAGCCUGAUGCAGCAACGCCGCGUGUGUGAUGACGGCCUUCGGGUUGUAAACCUCUGUUAGCAGAGAAGAAGCGAAAGUGACGGUACCUGAAGAAAAAGCGCCGGCUAACUACGUG